rnacentral:misc_RNA from 1 species
AACGCACGAGACCUGCGGACCUGCGGAGGGAUCAUUAGUGAGAAGCUGCCCCUCGUGGGUAGACCUCCCACCCUCUGUGAACUUACCUUUGUUGCUUUGGCAGGCCCGUCCUCUGGACCGCCGGCUUCGGCUGGCCCGUGCCUGCCAGAGGAUUCCAAACCCUGUCUGUCAGUGUUGUCUGAGUCUAUAUGAAAUCGUUAAAACUUUUAACAAUGGAUCUCUAGAUCGGAAGAGCACACG